rnacentral:rRNA from 1 species
UACGGGGGGGGCAAGCGUUGUUCGGAAUUACUGGGCGUAAAGGGCUCGUAGGUGGCCAACUAAGUCAGACGUGAAAUCCCCCAGGGCUCAACCCUGGGAACUGCGUCUGAUACUGGAUGGCUUGAAUUCGGGAGAGGGAUGCAGAAUUCCAGGUGUAGCGGUGGAAAUGACGUAGAUAUCUGGAGGAAUACCGGUGGCGAAGGCGGCAUCCUGGACCGACAUUGACGCUGAGGAGCGAAAGCUAGGGGGAGCAAACGGGG